GACGAACGCUGGCGGCGUGCUUAACACAUGCAAGUCGAACGAAGUGGCGAACGGGUGAGUAACGCGUAAUCAACCUGCCCUUCAGAGGGGGACAACAGUUGGAAACGACUGCUCAUACCGCAUACGGAAGGAGGGGAUGGCGUGUGAUUAGCUGGUUGGAGGGGUAACGGCCCACCAGGGCGAUGAUCAGUAGCCUGGCUGAGGGAAUGAACGUCCACAGUGGGACGGAGACACUGCCCAGACUCUUACGGGAGGCAGCAGGGGGGAAUCUUCCGCAAUGGACGAAAGUCUGACGGAGCAACGCCGCGUGAGUGAUGACGGCCUUCGGGUUUUAAAGCUCUGUUAAUCGGGACGCGGUACCGGAAUAGAAAGCCACGGCUAACUACGUGCCAGCAGCCGCGGUAAUUC
rnacentral:rRNA from 1 species